UGAGGAUGUAGCUCAGUUAGUAGAGUACUUGCCUCACAUGCACAAGGCCCUGGGUUCAAUCCCCAGCACCACAA
rnacentral:tRNA from 1 species